UCGAGAAUCUUCGGCAAUGGGCGCAAGCCUGACCGAGCGACGCCGCGUGUGGGAUGAAGGCCUUCGGGUUGUAAACCACUGUCGGAGGGGAUGAAAUGCGGGUGGGUUCUCCCAUUCGUUUGACAUAUCCUCGGAGGAAGGACGGGCUAAGUUCGUGCCAGCAGCCGCGGUAAGACGAACCGUCCGAACGUUAUUCGGAAUCACUGGGCUUAAAGGGUGCGUAGGCGGCGCGGAAAGUUGGGUGUGAAAUCCCUCGGCUCAACCGAGGAACUGCGCCCAAAACUACCGUGCUCGAGGGAGAUAGAGGAGAGCGGAACUUAGGGUGGAGCGGUGAAAUGCGUUGAUAUCCUAAGGAACACCGGUGGCGAAAGCGGCUCUCUGGAUCUCUUCUGACGCUGAGGCACGAAAGCUAGGGUAGCGAACGG
rnacentral:rRNA from 1 species